CCUACUCUUUGUAUAGGAGAUCUUAAUGAGCUUCUCUAUGAUUUUGAUAUAAGUUCUCCUAAUGUGAUUAUUUAUGGUACGCAUGCUUUUCGUGCGCUUGUCAAACAAUGUGGUUUUAUUGAUCUUGGUUAUAGUGGUCUUGCUUACACUUGGAAUAAAAGAUACACCUCUAAACCCACUCUUGAGCGUCUGGACCAUUGUUUUGUUAAUGUAGAUUGGUGUGAUAUAUAUCCUAACUCUAAUGUCUAUAAUCUGGCCAUUAUUAUAGACCAUGCUCCCAUUCUUUUACGUACUGAUGCUCUCACUCAAAAACCUAAAAGAAACUUUAAAUUUGAAAACUACUGGCUCAUGGAAAAGGAUUUUCACAAUCAUGCUAAGAAUAUUUGGAUUAGAACUAGGAAUAAAUCUUUCCACAAUAGAAAUACUAACCUUGCAGGUGCUUUGAGAGCUUGGUACAAGAAGAAAAAACCACUUCAACAAGAGUUGGAUUCACUACUGCAUGAUGCUGCUAACGCGACACUACGAUCAGAGACCCUUCGACGAAACUAUGUGCGAUGCCAUAAUCGCAAACAGUGGUGUAAAAUAACCUAA
rnacentral:rRNA from 1 species